rnacentral:rRNA from 1 species
UACGUAGGGUGCGAGCGUUAAUCGGAAUUACUGGGCGUAAAGCGUGCGCAGGCGGUUUUGUAAGCCAGAUGUGAAAGCCCCGGGCUCAACCUGGGAAUGGCAUUUGGGACUGCAAGGCUGGAGUUUGGCAGAGGAGACUGGAAUUCCUGGUGUAGCAGUGAAAUGCGUAGAUAUCAGGAGGAAUACCGAUGGCGAAGGCGGCAUCCUGGACCGACAUUGACGCUGAACGGCGAAAGCUAGGGGAGCAAACGGG